UCUUCUGUAGCUCAGUGGUUGAGUGUCCGCCCCGUGUGCGGAAGGUCAUUGGUUCGACUCCUGUUGGGAGAA